GAUGAACGCUGGCGGCGUGCUUAACACAUGCAAGUCGAACGAAGCACUUUAACCUGAUUCUUCGGAUGAAGGUUUUUGUGACUGAGUGGCGGACGGGUGAGUAACGCGUGGGUAACCUGCCUCAUACAGGGGGAUAACAGUUAGAAAUGACUGCUAAUACCGCAUAAGACCACAGAGCCGCAUGGCUCGGUGGGAAAAACUCCGGUGGUAUGAGAUGGACCCGCGUCUGAUUAGGUAGUUGGUGGGGUAACGGCCUACCAAGCCAACGAUCAGUAGCCGACCUGAGAGGGUGACCGGCCAGAUUGGGACUGAGACACGGCCCAAACUCCGACGGGAGGCAGCAGUGGGGAAUAUUGCACAAUGGAGGAAACCCUGAUGCAGCGACGCCGCGUGAGCGAAGAAGUAUUUCGGUAUGUAAAGCUCUAUCAGCAGGGAAGAAAAUGACGGUACCUGACUAAGAAGCACCGGCUAAAUACGUG
rnacentral:rRNA from 1 species